GCUACAGGCUUAACACAUGCAAGUCGAGGGGCAUCAGUUUGGCUUGCUUGCAAACCAAAGCUGGCGACCGGCGCACGGGUGAGUAACACGUAUCCAACCUGCCUCAUACUCGGGGAUAGCCUUUCGAAAGAAAGAUUAAUAUCCGAUAGCAUAUGUUUCCCGCAUGGGUUUUAUAUUAAAGAAAUUCGGUAUGAGAUGGGGAUGCGUUCCAUUAGUUUGUUGGGGGGGUAACGGCCCACCAAGACUACGAUGGAUAGGGGUUCUGAGAGGAAGGUCCCCCACAUUGGAACUGAGACACGGUCCAAACUCCUACGGGAGGCAGCAGUGAGGAAUAUUGGUCAAUGGACGCGAGUCUGAACCAGCCAAGUAGCGUGAAGGAUGACUGCCCUAUGGGUUGUAAACUUCUUUUAUAUGGGAAUAAAGUUGUCCACGUGUGGAUUUUUGUAUGUACCAUAUGAAUAAGGAUCGGCUAACUCCGUGCCAGCAGCCGCGGUAAUACGGAGGAUCCGAGCGUUAUCCGGAUUUAUUGGGUUUAAAGGGAGCGUAGGCGGAUUGUUAAGUCAGUUGUGAGAGUUUGCGGCUCAACCGUAAAAUUGCAGUUGAUACUGGCAGUCUUGAGUGCAGUAGAGGUGGGCGGAAUUCGUGGUGUAGCGGUGAAAUGCUUAGAUAUCACGAAGAACUCCGAUUGCGAAGGCAGCUCACUGGAGUGUAACUGACGCUGAUGCUCGAAAGUGUGGGUAUCAAACAGGAUUAGAUACCCUGGUAGUCCACACAGUAAACGAUGAAUACUCGCUGUUUGCGAUAUACAGUAAGCGGCCAAGCGAAAGCAUUAAGUAUUCCACCUGGGGAGUACGCCGGCAACGGUGAAACUCAAAGGAAUUGACGGGGGCCCGCACAAGCGGAGGAACAUGUGGUUUAAUUCGAUGAUACGCGAGGAACCUUACCCGGGCUUAAAUUGCAAAUGAAUUAUGGGGAAACCCAUACGCCGCAAGGCAUUUGUGAAGGUGCUGCAUGGUUGUCGUCAGCUCGUGCCGUGAGGUGUCGGCUUAAGUGCCAUAACGAGCGCAACCCUUAUCUUCAGUUACUAACAGGUCAUGCUGAGGACUCUGGAGAGACUGCCGUCGUAAGAUGUGAGGAAGGUGGGGAUGACGUCAAAUCAGCACGGCCCUUACGUCCGGGGCUACACACGUGUUACAAUGGGGGGUACAGAAGGCCGCUACCUGGUGACAGGAUGCCAAUCCCAAAAACCUCUCUCAGUUCGGAUCGAAGUCUGCAACCCGACUUCGUGAAGCUGGAUUCGCUAGUAAUCGCGCAUCAGCCAUGGCGCGGUGAAUACGUUCCCGGGCCUUGUACACACCGCCCGUCAAGCCAUGAAAGCCGGGGGUACCUGAAGUACGUAACAGCAAGGAGCGUCCUAGGGUAAAACUGGUAAUUGGGGCCA
rnacentral:rRNA from 1 species